rnacentral:rRNA from 1 species
CGAAGCCGCGAGGUGGAGCGAAUCCCAAAAAGACCGGUCUAAGUUCGGAUUGCAGGCUGCAACCCGCCUGCAUGAAGUCGGAAUCGCUAGUAAUCGCGAGUCAGCAUAUCGCGGUGAAUACGUUCCCGGGUCUUGUACACACCGCCCGUCACACCAUGGGAGUUGGCAACACCCGAAGUCGAUGAGCUAACCGCAAGGAGGCAGUCCGCCUAAGGUGGGGUUGAUAACUGGGGUGAAGUCGUAACAAGGUAUC